ACAAAAUGUUUUAACUUUUAUUUUACGAAUUCAAUUGUAUCUAAACACAGUGUUUAUGAUGUAACUAUGUAUUCUAGCAUUGUUUGUUUAAAAAAAUAGACUCAUCGAGUUUCUUACGCCGGUUCUUCUCGGUGGGUGGGUCAGCGAACCGGUGGCAGGGACUUUAUAUUGACCAAAAACAAUAAAUAAUCAUAUUCGUCAAAAUUUUGUUUUUAUUUGUUUUAUAGUGUCGGAUUUUUAUGUUUCAAAGACUUUGUUUUUGUGAAAAUUGUGUAUUGUUAUGUGAACUAAACUUAACAAACUCAGUUUUUACAAAUUCAAGGUAAUUGAAACAUAAAAAUCUGACAAGGAUAUCCUAUCCCCAUAAUAUCCUAAUACACACAUGCAAACAUAAACGCACACAUACACACCUGUAGAGUUUUAUCGCCCCAAUUUAAGAUGGCGCUAGCUGUCGCAUCAAAUGUCAAUUCGUGAGCCGUCAAACUCUUCUAAGACGCUUAUCUGUCUACAAAUAUAUACUAGUAAUCUGUGUCAAGCUGCAGGUUAGCUAAUUACA